AUUACUGUGCUAAGGGCACUUUCGGGCACACUCGGUGCAAUUUGCCCAGGGAUAUGCCUAAGUUUGGUCAGUGCCUGAAGGCAACAGUGACAGGAGCAUCUGUAAGUCAGGCUGGUGAACUUUGUAUCGCACUGUAAGCAGAGAGUGGUUUGCGUCAGAAAGGACCUUUAAAGAUCAUCUAGUCCAACUAUGCCACAGGCAUCUUUUACUCCAUAAGGUUGCUCACAGCCCCAUGCAACCUGGCCUUGAACACUUCUGGAGAUGAAGCAUCCUGCAUCUCCGAAUGCUGCAAUUAAACCCUCAAUGACACGGCCUGUCAGCCACAGGCAACUCUCCAAAAUCCCCAACGAUGAACCGCUGGUCAUCAGCCACUCCCAUGACUGUGACUCCACAGACAGAAACUCAGUGCUUCAUCAGCCUCCCGAGGCCCUUGCUCACCCAUACACACCCUCCGACGUCUGAGCAUGAGGAUGCGUUCUAACAAGUCCUCCAACGCCCAAAGGAGAAAUGGGAUCAAACACAACAAAAAUAGAUGGGAAGAAGCUGCUCUAAGUGUUCCUUGAUUUAAAACCUGAUGUUGGCACUUGGCUUGGACUUCAUGGGAGGAACACUGCGAGGCUGUGGGAUGUAGCAUUGGUGGCAUAGGGCAGGAUGAUUUUCUUGCUGAUUUAGCGUCUGGGUGGACAGGGAGGCAGCUGACAGCACAGCCAUGGGCCUGCUAUGUGACACUGGAAUAUCUGAUCAGGUGGAAAAAUUAACAGUUCUAGGAAAUGUUCCGUCUUAGUAGGAGUGUUAGUGUCACAGGUCCAGCCAAAUUCCCAUACAGAUAUAUUUAUAAUCUGCCAGCCAAAUGUUGCCUUAGAAACUAAGGAGUAAAACAACGUGCAACAUUUCCCACAGGAGAAAAUUAAUCUGAAAACAUGGAGAUUUACCUCUGCAUGAAAUAACCUAACCUUGGAGAACUUUCCACUGAGGGAACCACAUUUUAUUUCGCAUUGCCUGAAGAUGAGAAAACAUAAUGAGAUCUGCUCACUGAAAGUCUAUAGGAGGGACAAGUGAGAACACAUUUUAAAGGUGGCAGGAGAGUCCUCCUCCUGUUCAUUGGUUUGCUUUAAUUGCUGUCCUCACUGUGAGCCAUCAGAGGAACCCAUACCAUGAACUGAAGCCACAUUUUGCGUCUGUGGGUAGCUGUUUCUUCAGUUGUUUGCAUAAACAAAAGCCUUUGUCCAACUCCUGUAGUUGGUCCAUCUGUCUAGAUGUUGCUCUUGUUGCUACUACAUAUCUUACUGUUCCCUGGAGUCUUUAGAUUGUAUAUUUAGACAAAUUAUCCUCCAGACAAAAUCACUUUAGGCCUGGAAUCUACAUUUCAGCAUACUUCUUGUGAGUGGACAUGAAGCAUGGUUUUGAAUGGCAAGCUGUCCCCAUUUUAUUUUGCUUUGCUGAGUAUGACAGAGGAGGAAGGCUGAGAGACCCAGGACUGUUCAGACUGAAGAAGACUAAGAAGGGAUCUCAUCAUGCUUAUAAAUAUCUAAUGGAUGGGAGUAAAGUGGAUGGGGCCAAGUUCUUUUCAGUGGUGCCCAGAAACAAGACAAGGGGCAAUGGGCACAAACUGGAACACAAGAAGUUCCAUCUGAAUAUGAGGAAAAACCUCUUUACUUUGAGGAUUCCAGAGCACUGGAACAGGCUGCCCAGAGAGGUUAUGCAAUCUCCUUCUCUGAUGACGUUCAACUCUGGCCUGGACACUUUUCAGUCUAACUGCUCUAGGGAAUCUGCUUUUGCAGGAGAUUGGACUAGAAGGUUUCCAGAGGUCCCUUCCAGUCCUUACAAUUCUGUC
rnacentral:lncRNA from 1 species